CGUGGGAGUGCUUGGGCGUCCCCGGGCGCCGUCCAAGUCCGUCCGGGAGCUGGGUGUCCACCCCAACACCCACUCCCGCCUGGCCCUGCCCGAACGAUGGGCUCCCGGGCCUUGGGCGUCUCGGGUGAACGGGAAGGAGCUCUCCAAGCUGUCUCAGGAGCAAACUCUGCAGGCCCUGCGCUCCUCCAAGGAGCCCCUGGUGAUCCAGGUGCUGAGACGCAGCCCCCGCCUCCGGGGGGACAGCUCCUGUCACGACCUGCAGCUGGUGGACAGUGGCACUCAGACCGACAUCACCUUCGAGCAUAUCAUGGCGCUGGGCAAGCUGCGUCCGCCCACCCCGCCCAUGGUCAUCCUGGAGCCCCCCCCCAUCAGCCAUGAGUAUUAUGACCCGGCGGAGUUUAUGGAGGGCGGCCCGCAGGAGGCAGACCGCUUGGAUGAGCUGGAGUAUGAGGAGGUGGAGCUGUAUAAAAGCAGCCACCGGGACAAGCUGGGCCUGAUGGUUUGCUACCGCACGGACGACGAGGAGGACCUGGGCAUUUAUGUCGGAGAGGUAAAUCCCAACAGCAUUGCAGCCAAAGACGGCCGGAUCCGUGAGGGAGACCGCAUCAUCCAGAUUAACGGUGUAGACGUCCAGAACCGGGAAGAGGCGGUGGCCAUCCUGAGCCAGGAAGAGAACACCAACAUCUCCCUGCUGGUGGCCCGACCUGAGAGCCAGCUGGCGAAAAGGUGGAAGGACAGCGACCGCGAUGACUUCCUGGAUGACUUUGGCUCUGAGAAUGAGGGGGAGCUGCGUGCUCGUAAACUGAAAUCACCCCCUGCCCAGCAGGUGA
rnacentral:sRNA from 1 species